rnacentral:rRNA from 1 species
CGGCGGACGGGUGAGUAAUGCCUAGGAAUCUGCCUGGUAGUGGGGGACAACGUUUCGAAAGGAACGCUAAUACCGCAUACGUCCUACGGGAGAAAGCAGGGGACCUUCGGGCCUUGCGCUAUCAGAUGAGCCUAGGUCGGAUUAGCUAGUUGGUGAGGCAAUGGCUCACCAAGGCGACGAUCCGUAACUGGUCUGAGAGGAUGAUCAGUCACACUGGAACUGAGACACGGUCCAGACUCCUACGGGAGGCAGCAGGG